GCAGGGAACUAUCACAUUUGCAACAUCAACCUCUUCAAAAACCCAUGAAGGGAGAUGAUGUGGAAGUCAGUGGAAGCAGAAAUACACAUCUCACAACAGCAAAUAUGUACUUAACAGCAACUCAGGUGCAACAAUACCCUAUCUCAAUAAGUAGUGAAUGGAGGAAAUUUUGCUAAAACGUAAAGCCAACUUAUUACCAUUUGCAGCUUUCCAUGCAUCAUCGUAAGUAUUUUGUCUAAAUUAAACUGGUAUAUCAAACCGUUCUACAACAUCAUACACCUUCCGUGCAUGAUUAAUGGAUUACAUAGACUAAUUUAAAGUGCACACACAAAACUUGAAUAAAGAAGCAUUCUCAUAAAUUCGGAUUUGUGUCAGUGUGUUGUUGCACUUGUUGCAAAUAAGUGAAAGCAAUUUGCAAACCAGAGUAAAACGGGUUCCAAUCAGGUUUUACCAUGCCUAGAGACAAGUAUAGAUAAAGAAAGUGGAAAAUGGGAAUGGAAAUGUUAAUCAAGCUUUUGAGUACGAUGGUCCUCUUCAAAAUAACAACAAAACGACAUCGACGCAACCCAAUUUACCCAAUGUACGUGGACAGUUGACCUAAACGGUGAGUUGUUGUUGCUGUUAAACCACAGACAAUGAGGAAAGGAAAAGCAAUGAUUAAUCAAUUUUUUACGACCACAAUGUGCAUAUUUUUCGGGAUAUCCAUAAUUUUAGGUGGUACAAGGACCAUCCGAUCCAAGGGAGGAGUGGGAUAGCCCACUCGAGUUCCAUUUAUCAUGCAUAGCAAUGUCCGUAGAAUUAGGAAACAUGUGUAUUGAGAACAAAAUUUCUUCCUGAAAAAUUAACAAAACAUUGAUCGUUCUAAUUAAUUAAUUAAUUCGCAGGGCGCACUCUAAUGGCGGCAUUGGUCGUAUUCGUAUGGGUUGGAUUGGGUUACUUUAGCGUAAUUUAACAGGUGGUGCCUUUCUAAUACCUUAUCUGAUUGUACUCUUCCUGAUCGGGAAGCCGAUGUACUUCUUGGAAAUGGCAAUGGGUCAAUUUUCAAAUUUCACCAUUUUUCAAAGAUGCGAUGAUACAGAUAUAGUAAUGAGAAUCUCAUUAUGAGAUAUCAUGAUUAUUAAUUGCAUGCAUAUGCAAUUCAUUUUUUGUAGGAGUUGGGUAUGCCUCGGCAUUUGGCAUUUGCGUUUGCAGCUAUUAUUGCAGUUUAAUGGCUAUUACAAUAUUUUACUUUUUCCAAUCCUUCCAAUCGGUGCUCCCUUGGUCAGUAUGCAAUCCAGAAUGGGUGUCUCACAAACUGACCUGUGGGCCGAAUCAUACUGUGAUUGGUUCCAAUAAAAGUUUACCUGAACUUUAUUUGAAGUAAAUAAAUUACUCGAAACGAAGUGUAAAAAUGUUUAGGCAGACAAAUAUCCGUUAAUUUUUACUAUAUUUUAGGAUUGACGUACUUCGAGAGAUUGACAGUAUUGAUGACGGCAUAGGCUUACCCGAGUGGCGUCUUAGUUUGUGUCUCCUGGCUUCUUGUGCCAAAAUUUUGUUUUCUUUAAUAAAAGGAGUGAAGAGUCUUGGAAAAGUUUGUGGACUUGAAUUACAUAAUUGGAUCAUUGCAGAUCCAAUUUAAUCCAAUUUAAUUUACUGGAUUUCAUUAUAGGUUGCAUAUUUCACAUCAUUGUUCCCAUAUUUUGUGCUCAUUAAGUAUUUUGCUGGUGAGAGGAUUGACAUUAUCAGGAGCGAUUACCGGAAUUUCGUACUUUUUAGUCCACAAUGGGAAAAAUUACUGGACCCUUCGGCUAGUAUCACGAAUUAAACUUUCAAUCAAAGGUUACUAAUUAUAUUAUUAUUUUCAGGUUUGGGCGAUAGCAUUUUGGUUCUCAUUAGAAAUAUCAAUUUAUUUUUACCUAAAAUCAAAUUAACUGACACCUUUUUACAUGCACCAGCCGCAGUGACUCAGUGUUUCUUCAAUCGCUCCACCGGAUUUGGGCCCAUAAUCAUGUUCAGUUGGUAUAAUAAAUUUUCGCACAAUGUGUACCGAGAUUUAAUGAUAAUCAGUAUCAUGGACACAUUGAUGAGCAUUUUAGCAGGAGUUACCAUUUUUUCUGUUCUUGGGAACCUAGUAUUCGAGUUGGGUAAAGAAAUUGAAGAUGUUGCGUCAGCAGGACCUGGGCUGGCAUUCGUAUCAUAUCCAGAAGCAAUCAGCAAGUUUCAGUUUGUCCCACAACUAUUCGCCGCAUUGUUCUUCUUGAUGCUUCUCACACUCGGAGUUGGAAGUGCCACUUCGCUUACUAACGCUAUUAUAACUGUUAUCCAUGACCAGUUUAGUAGUAUUGAGAAAAAGUGGAUAACAACAGUCGUUUGCAUACUCGGCUUCUUCUCUGGCCUAAUUUAUGUCACCCCUGGAGGUUAAUUCAUAUGGAACUAGUGGAUACAUUUGGAGCUGGAUUUGUAAUUUUCAUUGUCGUUCUUCUCGAAAUGAUCGGAUUUGUCUGGGUUGAACAACCUUGUGCUUGAUAUCGAAUUUAUGCUGAACACAAAAAUAAGUUGGUACUGGAAAUUCUGCUGGUCAGUUUUUAUCCCGAUUCAUUCACGAUACGAAGUACUCUGAAGUACAAUGGCGUCAGUAUCCCUCCUGAAGCCGUUGUUUGCGGAUGGAUGAUUGCUGCAGUGGGCUUAUUGAUCUUACCUAUCGCAGCGUUGCAUUCUGUGUGGACAAAAAAAGCAGGUUCACUGGAUGAGAAAUUCAUGGAAUAGUUCCGAUUGGGGUCCGGCGGACACAAAAAUCAGUGAAAGCUGGAUGAGAACUCGUCCUGGCAAAAGUGCUGUAGUAGAACUGAAAGGAAUGUAUCAAACAAUUAAGAAAAGG